AGAAAAUUCGUCCUCAAAUUUCGACCUUGCAAGAAAAAGAAAACAUGCACUAGUAAAUGGUAUCCACUAAUCUGAAAAAAUAGUAGGAAUAAAAUAAGAUAGUGACAAUGUGUCCAUUUAAUCCAAUCAAUCCUAAUAGGUAUAAAUACUCCCUUAUAAAGCAUAUGGACAUCAUCAUACCAAUAAAAUUUAUGUCUACCUAGAUUAAUACAAUAAAAACCUCUCUUAGAUGCACCAUGCAAUGGAACUUGCAAUUCGAUCUUGUCGGUACGGCAGUCCAUGAGUAUACAUGACAAAGAAAUUAUAAAAGAGUGACUACACAUCCAUUUAAUAUAAGUACCUUUACCACAUUUAUCAAACAAGAUACAUUCAUGAUAUAGACUACUAACUACAAUUACAAAUCUCAUGGACUCCUCUACAUGAAAGAGUAUUUAAUCACCAGUAUUACAACAAUCAUGC
rnacentral:lncRNA from 1 species